AGUGUCUGUACAUUAAUUAAACAUUAUAUAGUGUCUAUACAUUAAUUAAUUAUAUAGUGUCUGUACAUUAAACAUUAUAUAGUGUCUGUAAAUCAAACAUUAUAUAGUGUCUGUACAUUAAACAUUAUAUAGUGUCUGUACAUUAAUUAACCAUUAUAUAGUGUCCAUAAAUAAAUAAACAUUACAUAGUGUCUGUGAAGGGAUAACCCCAUCACCAUUCUGCUAAUUGUACUCCCUUCUAUCAGCCUUCCCUAGUCAUUCGUUCUUUUUGUUGUUCCAUUCGUUAAUUUGUUAGGUUCCCGAACUGAGACCACCCCAGAGACUAAUUAGAACUAAGAACACCAUGUAUCCAUACCAAAACCGCAGACUAAUUGAUUGCUCCUAGGUGGCUGCCAUUUUGUGCAUAUGAAUACACUUGGUGAGAACAAAAAAAUCACAGUGUCCUCUGCCCAUCUGACAUGAUGGAGAGCUAACAGUGCUUCAGUCCCUGUUGUUUGAUUUGUAUAUUCUACAUGGCCGGGCUGGACGUUCGAAACACUGAGAGUGCAUGCCUUCUCAAACGGUUUGUAUAAAUUAGGUAUAAUGCACUUUGAGAAUUGGCCAUAUCGUAAUAGCUGUCAUCGUGCCCUGCGUUUUUUGAAGACCCCAAUUAAUGACCAUAAAUACUGCUUAAUAUUUAGAUUAAAUAAUAUUUAUACAAAGCCUAUAUUGCUAAAUGUAAAAAUAAAAGGCUGUUUUAUCCUGAGAAAUAUAUAGAUUAUGUUAGGAUAUAAUUAUAAUUUUAUGACCUAUGACAGCGGUUCUUUACUCUUCUGAUAUGGACCCAACUUCAGUGCCUUUCUUAUUGGAAAACAUUUUUUUUUCCACUUCCCAGCAGGGUCUAUAUAGCCUUGGGGAAUAUACAAUGUGGCGUGGGACCCACUGAAACAUUCUCUAGCCAGACCAGGGUUUUAUAAUCAUUGAUCUGUAAUAGCCACUGUGUCAUUUUAGAACUGCAGAUUUCAUUCUGAUCGUUUGACCCAUUGCAACUUGUUGUGUAAGACUAACAAUAAGCACUGCAAUAACAAUAUCGAAACUCAAGUCCCGUGAAUGAGCUUUGUGUCCUGAAUUCUUAUCUGCUUUCUUUUAGGUUCAAUCUGUUGGCGAAGACUCGACGGACAUGGAAACAAGAUGGCAUGAACUCCCUGCAGUACACAUUUAUAUCGAAAGAGCUUCUACCACUCUAUACAAACAUCACGGUGGACAUUGGCUCAGACAAACAUGUAAAGCGCCACACGUGAGAGCCAGAUAUCUUCUGACCAACUGUGCCCUACUCUCCACCAACUCCUGCAUCUAACACAGGAGCAGUGACUACAGGAAUACAGGAACGCUGUCUCAUUGUCUACCUUCCUGUAAUCAGAAAAUGGAAAAACCAAAGAUUGAAUUCAGUGUUGCUGACUUUUCAUGCUGUGAAAUCCACAGCAAGUGGAGCGGUUUCUUUUUUCUUUUUCCUGUUGUGCCAUUGGAAUCGAUUGGUUGUACCUCCCACUGCACAUUUUGUGAAGGGAGGUCAGAUCUAAUCUGGGGAUAAUUGUUUUUGUACCACUAUCUGCCUGUCUGCAGUGCAGGGGUUAUGUCACAGCUGUCUAUUUUCUCACCUUAUAAGCAAAUCAAAAAAAAAAAACAUUAUUGGUCAAUUUCUUACAAGUGCAAUUUUUAUUUUAUAUAUAUACAUAUUUUUUAUUUGAAAAGGAGGAUUUUACAUCGAUUUAAAUCGGUUUUUUUUUUUUUUUCCUUUUCUUGCAAGAUGGCUUAUGUUACCAAUAGCUGUGUUUAACUUGGCACGGACUGACAUCCCAGAACUGGAGUUUUGAGUUUAGAACUUUAUUCAUGAUGUGCGUUUUCUUUUCUGAGUUUGAUUUUUCUGCUUUGAUGUGUUUUUUCUUUCUUUCUGCAGUCUGUCACCUUAAAGAAAUGUUUGUCUUCUUUUUUUCCAAUAUUAUCAUUAUUGUUUUAUUCCACUUUCAAUACUGGAUUUAGAAAAGAACACGUGAACUGCACUUAAAUGGUUUUUGAAUUUAUCAACUGAAUGCAAAAUUCUUAAACAGUGUUACCUUUCCAUCCAAAGUGCCUUUAGUGCCGGUGUAACGUGCGGGACAUGUCGCAAACCCCAUCGCCACUCAAACAUUCUGAAUGCUUUCCACAGGUCACAUCAGCCGUUUUCAUCCUUAUACGGUUUAUCAAUAAAAUGUGAAACUGUAAGAGAUUUCCUACAACUUGAUAUAUAUUUCUAUGGUGUUAAAUUAUAUUUUUGUUGCAAAAGAACCUAGAUUUAAUUCCAAGGUGAAAAUGUUUCUUAUUUUCCUAAAUUUAUAAUAGAUUUGUGAAGGGAUAAACAGGAUAAUUAUUAAAGGAACAUGUUCAAUUUGUUUGUUAAUUAGCUUAUGUAGAAAUGUAUUUAUUUUUAUCAUCUGGUGGUUCCCAGGGACUAUCUUGGAAUUCAUCACACUUGUUUAAUCCUUUAAAACCCAGAGUGUCAGGAAUAGCUGAUGCCCAACACGCAGAACUUAAUAUAAAGGAAGAUCCUAAAACGUAUUACCGGGGCUUAGAAUGGCCGGAUUUAACGUAUAAAGGAAAAAAACACAAGAAAUAACGUAAAUGAUGAACAAGCCACGAGUCAAGGAAUGGAGAUAUCAGAAUAGUCAGGAGCCAGGCCAAAGGUCAAGGAAUACAGAGAUCGGAUAGUCAGAAGGAAAGCCAAGGUCAAAUACACAAGAAUCAAUACACACAAGAAACACUCUCUCGGAUAACCACAAUGGAAACCACGACAGGGCACAGAGAAAUGGACAAAACAGGUUUAUAUAGUCUAAGGUGCUCCCUGAUUCGCUGCAGAGAAGCAUGUGUUCGUGGGCGUGUGUGUGGCACACCCACAGGUCAAUAAUGAAAUGGCACUUUAAGGGUUAACUAAAAAAACCUUAAAUCUAACAAAGCUGCAGCGGUUGGCGUCUCUAAUGAUUACAGACCCAGCCACUGUGAGAGGAGGAGCAGCCAUCACCGGGGGUGAGUGAUGGGCGGCAUUCCCAUAACCAUGUGGGAAUGCAGCCGGACCGAGAUGUGCCCACCGUUCCAGACCGCUCCCGGGCAUGAGCGUACCAGACAGGUAUGUAUCCGGCGGCAUUCCCCUUGACAUGUGGGAAUGCCGCCGCAGAGAUUGCUAAUCCUUGUUUUACUUUUCUUUUCUCAUUUAUUUAUCUAAAAAAUGUCUUGCCCCCUUUUUUUACUAACUGUGCUAUUUUCUCUUCUGUGUGUGAUUUGGAAGCUCUUCUAACUUGCUUAGCUUUCUGCCUAAUCUCAUAAAUCAUUUUGCCUUCCUCACUCUGUGUUUUUUUUUUUAUAAUUACUAAAUGCUAACUUUUAGUUUUUUACUAUUUUGGCCACAUCCGGGGAGUACCACAGUGGUUUCUUUAAUUUUUUGCUUUUACUGACAAGCCUAAUGCAAUUUUCUGUUGCCUUCAGCAGUGCAACUUUUAAAUAAUCCCAUUUCUCUUGGACUCUAUUUAAAUUGCUCCAGUCUGAUAAUUACUCC